CCUACGGGAGGCAGCAGUGGGGAAUUUUGGACAAUGGGCGCAAGCCUGAUCCAGCAAUGCCGCGUGAGUGAAGAAGGCCUUCGGGUUGUAAAGCUCUUUUGUCAGGGAAGAAACGGUGGGAGCUAAUAUCUCUUGCUAAUGACGGUACCUGAAGAAUAAGCACCGGCUAACUACGUGCCAGCAGCCGCGGUAAUACGUAGGGUGCAAGCGUUAAUCGGAAUUACUGGGCGUAAAGCGUGCGCAGGCGGUUUUGUAAGUUUGUCGUGAAAUCCCCGGGCUCAACCUGGGAAUGGCGAUGAAGACUGCAAGGCUAGAAUCUGGCAGAGGGGGGUAGAAUUCCACGUGUAGCAGUGAAAUGCGUAGAGAUGUGGAGGAACACCGAUGGCGAAGGCAGCCCCCUGGGUCAAGAUUGACGCUCAUGCACGAAAGCGUGGGGAGCAAACAGGAUUAGAUACCCUGGUAGUCCACGCCCUAAACGAUGUCUACUAGUUGUCGGGUUUUAAUUAACUUGGUAACGCAGCUAACGCGUGAAGUAGACCGCCUGGGGAGUACGGUCGCAAGAUUAAAACUCAAAAUGAAUUGACGG
rnacentral:rRNA from 1 species